GAAACCAUUUACCAAAUCAAAGCCACCUCUCUUUCUCACCACCUGGAAAAGUUUAAAUAAAUCCAGCGAUUGCCCAUCAGCGAGCAAUGCAGGAAUAGGCCUAAUGCAUCCCCUAGCAGCAGCCUCAUUGGAAAAAACUGAAAGAACCUUAUCAAACAGGCAUCUUAGUUUCACUUCAUAAUCAUCAUCAGUCUCAUGAACAGCAUUGCGAUCCUUCACAUCAUGAUUAGCAUCAGAGCAACAAACAUCACCCUUACAUCCAUUGAUAAUAUCAGCACAAUCUAAAGAAGACCCAUUUGCUAACAUCGACCAUCCUGCCAUGAACCUACUUUGUUUAUAUAUCUUUUAUUGUUCUUUUUCUUUUCCUUUUCUUUUAUCUUCUCAGCUUAAUGCCCUAGUAAUCACAAAUCAACAAGAAAGAAAACAGAACAAACAAUAAAAGAGCACAAAGUUAUCUUCUUUUACUCUGUAUUCACAAGUUAAUAUAAGCAAUAAAAUCAAGAAAUGAACAGAGGAAUAGCUACAAAAGAACUAAAAGUUGACAUGAAUCUUGAAAUCAAGGUGGCAUGGCACGCUAUCAUGAGGGGAAAGAAGGUUGGCAGACUGUAGCCCUAUUUCGUUUUCAAGAUUUUUACCUCAUUUUUUCUGGGUCUUGAAUUGGAUUUGUUUUGCUUGGUUAUCUGCCUUGAAGAGAAGAUAUAAAGACAGAACACAAGAAAGAGAGAACGAUUAGAAAUUGAAGAGGGUUUGGAUUCUUGAAAAGAAAAUGAUUAGUGGAUGCCAGCGCAGAGCAAUUGAAAUAUGUUGGAUUGGGAUCUAACUCAACAUAGAGAGACAGAAGAGAGAAUUUAGGAUUAGGGUCUCAAUUCU
rnacentral:misc_RNA from 1 species